GACGAACGCUGGCGGCGUGCCUAAUACAUGCAAGUCGAGCGCAGGAAACUGACGGAACUCUUCGGAGGGAAGGCAGUGGAAUGAGCGGCGGACGGGUGAGUAACACGUAAGGAACCUGCCUCAAGGAUUGGGAUAACUCCGAGAAAUCGGAGCUAAUACCGGAUAGUUCAUCGGACCGCAUGGUCCGUUGAUGAAAGGCGCUCCGGCGUCACCUUGAGAUGGCCUUGCGGUGCAUUAGCUAGUUGGUGGGGUAACGGCCCACCAAGGCGACGAUGCAUAGCCGACCUGAGAGGGUGAUCGGCCACAAUGGGACUGAGACACGGCCCAGACUCCUACGGGAGGCAGCAGUAGGGAAUCUUCCACAAUGGACGAAAGUCUGAUGGAGCAACGCCGCGUGAGUGAUGAAGGUUUUCGGAUCGUAAAACUCUGUUGUAAGGGAAGAACACGUACGAGAGGGAAUGCUCGUACCUUGACGGUACCGUACGAGAAAGCCACGGCUAACUACGUGCCAGCAGCCGCCGUAA
rnacentral:rRNA from 1 species